GACUGCCGGGCUGCUCGGGCUGCGCGGCGAGCGCAGGCGCCGCCGCCUCUUCGCUUCCCCGACCUGCCUCGCCGCUGCCACCGCCGCUCCCGGUCCUCCGACUCUCCGCCCUGCCGCCACCCAGCUCCGGCUCCGGCUCCGGCUCCGGCUCCGGCUCCGGUUCCGGCUCCGGCCGCUCUCCACCGCCGCCACCUGGGGAUCCCGAGCGAGGGGUGGUUGUCCUUGUCGAAAGGAACCAUGAAUUGGCAUUUUCCCUUCUUCCUUGUGGCCACAGUGACGUUGCCCUCUCUGUACUCCCAGUUCAACCCCCUGUCUCUGGAGGAACUAGGCUCCAACACAGGAAUCCAGGUUUUCAAUCAAAUGGUCAAAUCCCGGCCUCAUGACAAUGUGGUCGUGUCCCCCCACGGGAUCGCGUCUGUCCUGGGGAUGCUUCAGCUGGGAGCCGACGGCAGGACCAAGAAGCAACUCACCACGGUGAUGAGAUACAGCGUGAAAGGAGUCGGUAAAGUGUUAAAGAAGAUCAACAAGGCCAUCAGCUCCAAGAAGAAUAAGGACAUUGUGACCGUGGCCAAUGCAGUGUUCGUGAAGAACGGCUUCAAGAUGGAGGUGCCCUUUGUCACCCGGAACAAAGACGUGUUUCAGUGUGAAGUCCAGAAUGUGAGCUUUGAGGAUCCAGCCUCCGCCUGUGAUUCCAUCAAUGUGUGGGUCAAGAACGAAACCAGGGGUAUGAUCGACAACCUGCUCUCCCCAAAUCUCAUCGAUGGUGCGCUCACCAGACUGGUCCUGGUCAAUGCCGUGUAUUUUAAGGGUUUGUGGAAAUCACGGUUCCAACCCGAGAAUACAAAGAAACGUACGUUUGUGGCAGCCGAUGGGAAGUCCUAUCAAGUGCCCAUGCUCGCCCAGCUCUCCGUGUUCCGAUGCGGGUCUACAAGCACCCCCAACGAUUUAUGGUACAACUUCAGUGAACUGCCCUACCACGGGGAAAGCAUCAGCAUGCUGAUUGCCUUGCCAACCGAGAGCUCCACCCCGUUGUCGGCCAUCAUCCCUCACAUCAGCACCAAGACCAUAGACAGCUGGAUGAGCGCCAUGGUGCCCAAGAGGGUACAGGUCAUCUUGCCCAAGUUCACAGCCGUAGCACAAACAGACCUGAAGGAGCCCCUGAAAGGUCUUGGCAUCACUGAGAUGUUUGAUCCAUCAAAAGCAAAUUUUGCAAAAAUAACAAGGUCAGAAAACCUGCAUGUUUCUCACAUCUUGCAGAAAGCAAAAAUUGAAGUAAGCGAAGAUGGAACCAAAGCUUCAGCAGCAACAACUGCGAUUCUAAUUGCAAGGUCAUUACCUCCCUGGUUUACAGUAGACAGACCUUUUCUAUUUUUCAUCCGACAUAAUCCUACAGGUGCUGUCUUAUUCAUGGGUCAGAUAUACAAACCCUGAAGAGUGUACAAGAGAAACCAUGCAAAGGCUCCUUUGCGAUGAAAACAAGACUCCUUUCCUACAUCUUUCAUAGUUCUGUUAAAUAUUUUUGUACAUUACUUUCUUUUUCAAAACUAGUUCUUAGGAACAGAGACUCAGUGAUGCAAGCAUUUCUGUUCUGGGAUAUAUAUCAAAGGGAAAAAGGGGCAGGAUGGCUGGAACACUGUACUGACGAAUAGAAAGGCUUCAAAA